ACUCCUACGGGAGGCAGCAGUGGGGGAUAUUGCACAAUGGAGGAAACUCUGAUGCAGCGACGCCGCGUGAGGGAAGAAGGCCUUCGGGUUGUAAACCUCUGUCUUCGGGGACGAACAAAUGACGGUACCCGAGGAGGAAGCCACGGCUAACUACGUGCCAGCAGCCGCGGUAAU
rnacentral:rRNA from 1 species